rnacentral:sRNA from 1 species
CGACUUGCUGCGGACAAAUAAAAUGAAUAUGGGCAUCAAUGCCACCUGCGGUCAGAAUAGAGCCUUCACCGGCGAUCACUUCGGUUCCAGGGCCAAUAAUAAUGUCGAUAUUAUCCUGGAUAUCCGGAUUACCCGCUUUGCCUAUACCGUCAAUACGGCCUUCUUUGAUACCAACAUCGGCUUUAACGAUACCCCAAUGAUCUAAAAUCAAGGCAUUAGUGAUGACUAAGUCAGCAGUUUCUGCACUAGGUCGCUGACUUUGCCCCAUGCCGUCACG